AUAGUUCUGUGUAUACAGUGAUUAAGCACAUAGGUUCUGGAGCCAGUCUGUUUCUUUCAAAAUCACCUCAUUGCUUUUGAAGAAUCAGCCCAGCUCAAAUGGACAAAGAGGUCAUUUUAUAUUUUAUCACCUAAGAAUUUGAUUUGAAAAGAGGAUCAGAAACCACAGGAAAUUUGAUUUAUGCCAGCCCUGCAUCCAAGGGAAACCCCCAUGAGACUACAGGUGUGAAGCAAGAUAGAAGCAUCAGUGCAA
rnacentral:lncRNA from 1 species